CAAAGAGCAUGGAUAUGACGACACAGGCUCUGAGAAUGCAGCGGCGUAACGAGAAUUCUGUGAAAAGAAUUUAUUCUGUUUAGGUCAUCAAGUAUAUUUGCAUUUGUCAUGCUAUUUCCAAGAACAACAAAGCCAGCUACACUGAUGGGUAAAUAGAUGCACAAAACAGCUGGAAAGAAAUGUAAAGACUUAGGAAACAUGUCCGGUUGUUUCAUAUCAACUUGUAUGGUGGGAAAUACACUGGCUCCACCGAAAGCAAAGAGAAUCGUUCCAAAAGCGUUAAAGAAACUGUUGAACGUUGGAAUGGAGUGUGUGGCUGGUGGGGUGGUUGGUACCAUCUGUAUCGCUUGCCAGAAGUCCUUGGGAGUUCCCAGCCAAGUAAAAGGAAUAAGGACGGCAGUGAUUAUGAGAAUCCAAUAACAAGCAUGUAUUUCUACAUGACCGAGACUUUCAAUCAAGUUGGAGAUGUUGCCGGCGAUCAAUAGAAUGUAAACAACCCCUGUAUCAAAGCCCACCUUACCUGCCCACCCAGCAUCCACUAUAGCUUUGGGAAGAGCAAGUAUUCCACUUCCACAGACAGUUCCUACUAUGAAUGACGCGCCCAUGAGAACACCUAGGCCUUUCUGUGGUGGCUGUUAAGAAUAUGGGUCCAACGCGCUCAAUAACAAAACUGCACAACCCAAAUACUUACUGUCUGCUAUAUUGAAGAAACCUUCUAAGUCCUGGUUGAUUGGGUUCACAACUAUGAGGAAAGCCAUGAGAAGAUGGGACGUGAUUAGUAUAAUAACGGAGUAUAGAAGCCAAGUCUUUGCAAGUUCAUCGAGUAUAUUAUCGUGUGUCAUGUUGUCACCAAGGACAACCAACCCAGCAACACAUAUUGGAAGACUUAGGAAACAUGUCCGGUUGUUUCAUAUCAACUUGUAUGGUGGGAAAUACACUGGCUCCACCAAAAGCAAAGAGAAUCGUUCCAAAAGCGUUAAAGAAACUGUUGAAUGUUGGGUUGGAGUGUGUGGCUGGUGGGGUGGUUGGUAUCAUCUGCAUGUAGAAGAUGGCUUGCCAGAAGUCCUUGGGAGUUCCCAGCCAAGUAAAAGGAAUAAGGACAGCGGUGAUUAUGAGAAUCCAAUAACAAGCAUGUAUUUCUACAUGACCGAGACUUUCGAUCAAGUUGGAGAUGUUGCCGGCGAUCAAUAGAAGGGAUCCUGGGUUCGAAUCCCGGCCAGGGUUGGAGAACCAAGGAUCCUGGGUUCGGAUUCAGGCCAGGGUGGGUGAACCAGAGUUUAAAUUCUAGGCCAGGAUUGGGGAACCAGGGAUCCUAGGUUCGAAUCCAAGCCAGGGUUGUAGAACCAGGGAUCCUGGGUUCAAAACCAAAUCAAUCUAACUUACCGUUGGUAUAUCAAUCAAAGCUUCAUCGUCGUUGUUGUUAGCUACUGGUCCCGACAUUUCUGUUUGUUGGUUCAUUUAUGUUAAGCGUAUAUACCAUACACCUACGCCUGUGACGUAACAAAAGUGACGUAUUGUAUUCAUGAUUUAUCAAAUACUAAAUCGGCGACAACCUAGCGUCGACCAGCUAAUAUCUAGAGGCUUUACAGCAAAUGCAUUAAGCAUUCUUAUUCAAACGCGAAGUUAUCUUUUUCUGCUACAUGAAUAAUAUAAACGGUCUUUUUUGGAGCAUCUGAUAUAAAAACAUAUUUUCCAACGGUUUAUCUGCCGUACGAUAAAUAAAAAAUAUGUUUUGGUAUCUAUUAUAACAUUCUGCUGCUUUUGCUUCCAGGCUAAAUUUUAAUAUAUUUUGACUCUCAUGGUCUUAAUAAACACACGCAGCUUGGCCUGUGCCCCCCGGUCAUUCUCUAUCAUGCCUCGAAUAAUAUCGUGAUGUUAUUUUCGAUGUAACGCGGCCACCGAUGCAAUAAACAAUAUUUCAUUGUGACGUCACUAUUGUCACGCGGCAAAUUCUUUUGUGUACGAAUUACUAUCGAGAUUUAAAACUUCUGUUUAGGGUGGAUGGCGUAAAUAUGCUCGACAGUGAGCAUGAGGUGUAUGAAUACACCAUGUGUGUCUGGUGUAUAAGAAGAUACCCAUGUUAUAACUCGACAGUGAGCAUGAGGUCUCAACUUUUCUGACAAAUAUUAUAUACAAUCGCUUUUAAACAAUGAUUAACGUUUAAAUGCUUGGAAACAAAUAUUAUCCUGCAUUUUAUUUGUACAUGGCUUGCAGACAUUACGCAGUAAACACACAACAUAAACCUAAUACACCUAACCACCUUUAUGACAGGGGUUGCCAAACUUAUACAUGAACCGCAUACAAAGUUUAAACACCCCACCUAACAUAACGUUUCUUAUCCUUUCAUGGUUCGUGGCUUUCAGAUACACUCAACACCCAUGGCCCCUCUCCAUCAAUAAAAUAACCUACAUUUAUUUUAACUUAUUUACGUUUGUUAUUUUACAUCAUACACCCAAAUACACUGUUCUAGUAUCCUUGUUAAAUAAUCGUUGCAUUAUGACGUGUUUGUCUUCUAUUGUUUCGUUGCAAUCGAGAUAAAAACACCGUUUGUUUCGACGAGUCGAUUGACGCCAUAAAUAAUGGUAACUAUGACGUCAUAAUAUGUCAAUCACCCAAACUUUCUAAAACUCGAAUUUCCUACGUCUCAAGUAUGUAAUACGUCACUUAACUAAACCUAACAGCUCCUAUGACAUCACUAUGGUGUUUAUUCUGAAACCUGAAGAACAAUAUAACAAUGCAUAUAUGUGACGUUGCAGAUAUGCAUUGUUUCGUCACAUGCUGCAUAACAAUCACAUGUUAAUGAUUAAACAAACGCAUGCAUUGUGACGUCACAUAAAACAUCGACUUUUCGGAAGUUAUCAAACCUACUUGUUACGUGAUCGUUGAAUUCUAGAAUUUUAAAUUGUCGAAUGUCAUAUUACGUCACAAUACCAAAGCGUUGUCCCAUCUUCCGCGUUCCAUUUUGGCGACUCGCGCUAUUUCUGCUCGUCUCUAUAUGACUCAUAACACCUAUUCAUACGUCAUA